AAGGGAUAUUCAGGCAGGCAUCAGGGUGAUUGGUGGUGGAGCGAGGUAGUCAAAGGAAAAGUCGAGGUGAAGAAGGCGGCGUUCGCUAGGUUGGCAGGGAGCACAAGAGAGGAGGAGCGGAGAGCGAACAGGUUGAUCUACGGGAGGCGAGAAGAGAAGCUAAGAUGGCAGUCACGGAAGCUAAAAAUGCGGUGUUCGGUCGCA
rnacentral:lncRNA from 1 species